rnacentral:rRNA from 1 species
UACAGAGGUCUCAAGCGUUGUUCGGAUUCAUUGGGCGUAAAGGGUGCGUAGGUGGCGCCGUAAGUCAGGUGUGAAAUCUCGGGGCUUAACUCCGAAACUGCAUUUGAUACUGCGGUGCUUGAGGACUGGAGAGGAGACUGGAAUUUACGGUGUAGCAGUGAAAUGCGUAGAUAUCGUAAGGAAGACCAGUGGCGAAGGCGGGGUCUCUGGACAGUUCCUGACACUGAGGCACGAAGGCCAGGGGAGCAAACGGG